UACGUAGGUGGCAAGCGUUGUCCGGAAUCAUUGGGCGUAAAGCGCGCGUAGGCGGCCCGGUAAGUCCGCUGUAAAAGUCCAGGGCUCAACCCUGGAAAGCCGGUGGAUACUGGUCGGGCUAGAGUCCGGAAGAGGCGAGUGGAAUUCCUGGUGUAGCGGUGGGAAUGCGCAGAUAUCAGGAGGAACACCGAUGGCGAAGGCAGCUCGCUGGGACGGUACUGACGCUGAGGCGCGAAAGCGUGGGGAGCGAACAGG
rnacentral:rRNA from 1 species